GUUAACUGGGCGUUAAGAAUGGGGAAUCUCUUAAUGUCUCGGUUACUUAAUAUUUUGUUUUAAGAAAAAUCGUUUAAGUUAACUGGGCGUUAAGAAUGGGGAAUCUCUUAAUGUCUCGGUUACUUAAUAUUUUAUUUUGAAAAUCGUUUGUUUAAGUUAACUGGGCGUUAAGAAUGGGGAAUCUCUUAAUGUCUCGGUUACUUAAUAUUUUGUUUUGAAAACCGUUUAAGUUAACUGGACGUUAAGAAUGGGGAAUCUCUUAAUGUCUCGGUUACUUAAUAUUUU
rnacentral:lncRNA from 1 species